UAUCCAUAAAGCAAUCUGGAAACUUCUCGGUGCGGAAAACAGAUCAGUUGCUGUGAAAAUAAUUCAAAACAGGAGUCAAAAUUCAGUAGAGAACAUAGUGCAAUUUGAAAAAGAUGUUUAUAAGGAAAUUCAGAAUCUAAGAAAAUGUAUUCAUCGGAAUAUUGUCACAUUAUAUGGAGCCUCAAAAGAUUCGAGCAACAACAUUUGCUUACUCCUUGAGUACACAGAUUGUGGAUCACUCUAUGAUUUUUUGCAUCACUCACUCAAGGAAGUUUCAUUCAACGUGAAGCUUGAUUGGAUGCUGCAAUGUGCCACGGGUUUGGAGUUCUUGCAUAAAAAUAAUACAAUUCAUCGGGAUCUUAAGACGAAAAACUUGUUACUUUUUAAUGAAUAUCGUACAUUGAAAAUUAGUGACUUUGGAAGAGUGAAAGCAUUUGCAAAUUACAGUAGUGAUUUAAUGGAAUCAGUUUGUUAUAUGGCUCCUGAAGUUUGUAACGAAAAUGGGAAAUACAAUAAAAUGUGUGAUGUGUUUAGCUUUGGAAUAACUUUUUGGGAAGUAUUAUCUAGGAAGAAGCCAUUUUACGAAUAUAAAAAUGUGCCUUCGGUGGUUAUCAUAAAAAAAAUUAUUGAUGGGUUUCGACCGAAAAUAAGUGAUGCAAAUAUUAAUGAUGGCUCCGGUUACAUUGAAUUAAUAAUUCAGAAGUGCUGAGAUCGUCUUCCAAAAAACCGGCCGACAAUGAAAGAAUUGUGUGCUCUUCUCCCUAUAUUUCCUAUUUGUCUUCUAGAUAGCGGAAUUGUAAACUUAGAAGAGGUUCAGCUUGGUAAAUUUAUUGGACGUGGAAACUCAGGAGUUGUCCACAAAGCAAUUUGGAAGCUUCCCGAUGCGGAUGAAAAAUCAAUUGCUGUAAAAAUAAUUCAAGAUCAUAAUGAUGAUUCAAUAACGGAAAAUAUUAUAUUUGCCAAAAAUGUAUUUCGAGAAAUACAGAUUAUAAAAAAAUGUAUCCAUCGGAAUAUUAUCGCAUUAUACGGAGUAUCGAAGACUCCUGACAAUAGGUUUUCUUUACUUCUUGCAUUAUUCGGAUGAAAACGUUUCAUUCAAGAAGAUGCUGGAUUGGAUGCUGCAAUGUGCCACGGGUAUAGAAUUCUUGCAUUGCAAAAAUAUAGUUCACCGAAAUCUUACUACGCAUAACUUAUUGCUAAUGAAUAAUUAUGAUACAUUGAAAAUACGUUACGUUGGAACUGUGAAAAAACUUUCAAAAAGCAAUACGGAAAACAUUAGGUAUAUGGCUCCAGAACUAUGUAAUCCUAUCAACAAACAUACGCAAAUGAGUGACGUAUUUAGUUUUGGCGUUAUUUUUUGGGAAGUGUUGUCCAGGAAGAAACCGUUCGAAGAAUUUAUAAAUAUAAAUCCAUUAGAUUUACAACGUAAAAUUAUUAAUGGUGAUCGCCCGAAUAUAAAUGAAUUGAACAUUUUCAAAUAUUCCAAUCGUAUAAAGUGAUUUAUAGAAAAAUGCUGGAAUCGCGAUCCAAAAAUUCGACCUACUACAGAUCGACUUGUUAAUUUUUUCAAGAAUACUGAGUAUUUUAAUAUA